rnacentral:rRNA from 1 species
GAUGAACGCUGGCGGCGUGCCUAACACAUGCAAGUCGAGCGGAGAUAAGGGGAGUACUUGUACGAAUUUUAUCUUAGCGGCGGACGGGUGAGUAACACGUGAGUAACCUGCCUUUUACUGGGGAAUAACAUCGAGAAAUCGGUGCUAAUACCGCAUAAUGUCACGAGGCUGCAUGGCCAUGUGACCAAAGGAGCAAUUCGGUAAAAGAUGGACUCGCGUCCGAUUAGGUAGUUGGUGAGGUAACGGCCCACCAAGCCUACGAUCGGUAGCCGAACUGAGAGGUUGAUCGGCCACAUUGGGACUGAGACACGGCCCAGACUCCUACGGGAGGCAGCAGUGGGGAAUAUUGGGCAAUGGGGGAAACCCUGACCCAGCAACGCCGCGUGAAGGAUGAAGGUCUUCGGAUUGUAAACUUCUUUGAUCAGGGACGAAGAAAUGACGGUACCUGAAGAACAAGCCACGGCUAACUACGUGCCAGCAGCCGCCGUAAAAC